rnacentral:lncRNA from 1 species
AGUGACCAAUGAGAACUGAUUACAAACCAUUUAACUGAACAAAAGUCACCUUCUGUUACACACAAGUUUAUCUGGAGAAAUAUUCAUGCAAUAUUCAUGAUGCUGCCUGGAAGUCCCAACACUUUAAUUCAUUCUCUACCAUCUCCAGAAACCAUGUCCUAACCAGCUUCACAGCCCCUUCCACUGAUGCUGACCCAUGUCCAUUUAGGUGGUUCACACUAGCUUACAUAUAAAUCCAAGGUGGUGUGAACCCUCUGCUUUUGUGUUUAAAAUUUCCUUUCAGAUUCAGAUUUAGAAUACUUGAUUAGUCCUGGAAGGACAAUUCAGUUUUACAAUCAACCCGUCCACAGAAGGGAAAGUUAUACUUUUAUGUAACCUAUAUAGGGUUCAAUAAGUUAUCAUGGAUUUGUUCAUCAAAAUGUCCUGAAUGUAUAAACAGUAAGUGCAGCAUCACCAAACAACCCUUUCUGCUGGCUUCAACAUCAAAUUUAAAAGUCUCUGAACACUAAGCUCUUACAGUUACACUGUCUUACUGUAUGUUUGUUUUCAGUGUAGCAGGAUGAUGUAUUUCAUCCUUGCUCCUGCACAUGUUGCCUGCUUCCUUGAAGCCUCCAUCAGCCAAUUACCUGAAGGGGGCACUCUAUAAAAGGGGGUAGUUGGACCCUCCCUCUCCCUCUUGCUCUGGCCUUUCCAUCACUUCCAGGUUGCCUUGCCUCUCGCAUCACGCGGCAGGUAAGAUAGCAGUGGCUGCUAACUAUGUUAACUGGGUGAUUAUUGUGCUUUGCUACCUCUGAUUCGACCUGUUUUCAGAUGCUUGAUGUUUGCUGUUCUCAUGCUGGUCACGGUGUAGAUCGCGGCAGACACCAGUGUAGCUGGGUCUGCACUCCUCUCGCUCCUCUCCCUCUCAGAUGAUCUUUUCACAUGGCCUGACCAGUAUGUAUGCCUUACGGCGAACCUGUACUUUCACUCUCUGCUCCUCCAACAUUAAUUAGAGUUUAUUAUGUUUGUGACAGGGGCUGUGUGUCCAGGUGUCUCCCUGGGGAACUCCAGCGGUGCAAGAUUGGUGAUAAGAUUACUGCAAGAUUACUGUAAGAAUUUGCAGCUUUGACGCUGCCUUAACGCUGCUUUGACGCUGCUCUGCCUCUGCUUUGCCUCGACCUGUGCUGCUCCCCCGCUGCUUGCCUGGCCGGGCGGCUGUGUGGCUGCUUUGACGUAGUGCUCCUACUUCUGUGCCUGCCUGCAGCUUCCUGCCUCUGCUCCCUUAUGGAUGUACAGCUCCUGGUGCUUUGCUGCUUUGCUGUUUUUUUUCUGCUGUUUUUUUUCUGCGGCUCUGAAAGUGAGGGGCUGGUCGCCGCAUAGAGGGACGCGGACAUGAAAUAAACUGUGGUUGGGCUGCACACAGGCUGGACUGGACCAGUGUAUUCAUGGUGUGCUGACGUCCUCAGCCCAAUUUUAAGGGAAUAGUUUUAAGGAAAGACAGUGUUACGGUGGGGUCACUUAAGUUCUUAGUUAAUUCAUUUUGUUUCUUUCCUUCAUUUGGUUUCCUGGUUUUCUUUUAUAAAUACUGGUUAUAUUUUUGGUCCUUUUGUUUUGAGUUCAUGGGGAAACAUUUUUUGAGUUAAAUUUGUUUCCAUGAAUUGAAUAAUUUCAUAUUUCGUUACAUCUUUUUUUUCCUUCCUUAUUUAGUUUAUUAGCUUAUUAUCCUCCUUUGGUUGAUUGGUAUGUUUUUGAUUAAUUAAGGGACAUCUUUUCUAAUUUACUUAUCGUUUUCUUUUUGUUUGUUCUAUUUUGGUUGUUCAUGAGUUGGGUUUUCUUGGCAGCAUAUGUGCUUUGCUUGAGCUAAUUCGUGGCUGCCACCCAUAAUAUUAGUAUUGUUUGUUAUUAUUUUGUAUAGGUAUUUUUAGUUAUUUUCUCUAUUUGAGUGUAACCCACUAACCCCCUUUUCUUUUGUCCCUUUCAGUUGCUGAGAGCUUGCAGUGGUGGUUCCUGGUGUCCUGGUGGUGGUUUCCCUCAUAUGGUGUGCUGUUUAUCCCCUGGGCUUUUGUUGUUUUCACCGAGUGAGUGUUCAUGUGAUUGCCAUGUGUGAUUGGGGUGUGAUUGGGGCCACUGGUGAGUCCCUGUUCUUCCUGAUGUAUGAUUGCCACGUGUGCUUGGGGUGCCUUUUCUUCUCUGGGUAGGGUUAGAUCUCUCCUUGGUAACUAUGUCUCUGUCUUUUCUGUCCAUGAUGGAGACUUGGGCUGCACAGACCUCAUAGCCCAUGACAUCCCCCUCCUGGAUAAUAUUCCAGUGAGGCAACGCUACAGGCGAAUUCCUCCAUCAGACUAUGAGGCUGUGAAGCAGCAUAUCAACCAGUUGCUUGAGGCUCAGAUCAUUAGGGAGAGUAGCAGUCCUUAUGCCUCUCCGAUUGUUCUUGUGAAGAAGAAAGACGGGACUUUGCGAAUGUGUGUUGACUAUCGGCAACUGAACAGCAAGACCAGGAAGGAUGCUUUUCCUCUACCACGCAUUGAAGAGUCUCUUGAUGCUCUAAUGAAUGCCAAAUGGUUUUCCACGCUGGACCUUGCCAGCGGAUACAAUCAGGUUCCUGUAGCAGAGAAUGAUUGUGCCAAAACUGCCUUUUGCACCCCCUUUGGGUUGUUCGAAUGGAACCGCAUGCCCUUUGGACUUUGCAACGCUCCUGGCACCUUCCAGCGACUCAUGCAGCGGCUGUUUGGGGUCCAACAAUGUUGAUCCUUACUCCUCUAUCUGGAUGACAUUAUCGUCUUUUCUUUCACCAUCGAACAGCACUUGGAGAGGUUGGGUUAAGUGUUGGAAUGGUUGCGUUCCGAGAAUCCGAAGGUGAAGCUUGCAAAGUGUGCCUUUUUCCAGCAACAGGUGCAGUAUUUGGGUCAUGUGGUUUCGGACAAAGGGCGCUCCACUGAUCCAAGUAAGGUCGAAGUGGUUGCUAUCUGGCCAUCUCCCUCUACAGUUUCUGACCUGCAAUCAUUUCUCCCUUCCUUUUGUCCUGGAAGUUGAUGCCAGCUAUGGUGGUCUUGGAGCUGUGCUUACACAGGAGCAAGGUGGGAAGGUAAGACCAAUAGCUUAUGCCAGCUGUGGUCUAAGGCCCACUGAGCGCAACAUGGUCAACUACAGCUCCAUGAAACUGGAGUUUGUGGCGCUCAAGUGGGCCAUGACAGAAAAAUUCAAGAAGUAUCUCCUUGGUAACAAGUGUGUGGUCUACACCGACAACAACCUGCUUAGCCAUUUGUCCACUGCUAAGCUUGGUAUCACUAAACAGCGUUGGGCUGCCCAGUUGGCAUCUCCUGAUUUCGUGAUCAGGUACCGCUCAGGGCGGAGCAACCAAAACGCUGAUGCGUCGUCCUACCAGUAUACACCUGGAGUUCAAGACACCGAAACCAUGCUCCCUGGGACUUCUCUUACUCAUCCUUUACAGCAGGCACUCAAGGUGAAAAAGGCUGAAGUGACACAAUCAGCUGUGCUGGCUCUCCUGUACCAUUCUCAGUCAGACAUCAGUGCACUCCAGCAAGCUGACCCUGUUCUACAAGAGCUCCUUGUCUUCUGGCAACAGAAGAGGCAUCCUGAUAGGGAGGAGUGCAAACAGCUAUCUCGGCCUGUUUAAGCACUACUGCGCCAAUGGGACCAUUUGGUGGAGCGUGAUGGGGUCCUCCUGAUGGUGGCGAGGCAGUUCCUCAGUUGCUCCUGCCUGCUGCCUUGAAAGAGGAGGUUUUAACUGAGGUCUACCAGAGGCAUGGCCACCAAGGUGUCGGAAGGACCCUGGAGCUUCUCCGGCAACGUUGUUAUCGGCCUGGUAUGACCUCUGAAGUGGAAAGUUGGUGUCAGACAUGUGAGAGAUGUCAGGUUGCUAAGAAUUCCCAACAUCCUGUUCGUAGUCUCAUGGGGCACCUGUUGGCUUCCAAGACAAAUGAGAUACUUGCCAUGGACUACACUGUGCUUGAACCCACCUAUAAGAGGGUUGAAAAUGUCUUGGUGUUAACUGACGUCUUUAGUAAGUACACACUGGCUGUCCCUACAUGGGACCAACGGGCUUCCACUGUGGCCCAAGUUCUGGUUGUGGAGUGGUUCUCAAAGUUUGGUGUACCUGCCCAAAUCCUUUUGGACCAAGGCCGCAACUUUGAGAGCGCUUUGAUCCAACAACUUUGUGCCCUUUAUGACAUCAAAAAGUCUCACAUAGUUCCGUACCAUCCUGCUGGAAAUGGUCUGUGUGAGCCGUUCAACUGGACUCUUCAUGACUUGCUGUGCACUCUGCCGGUGUCUUGGAAGCGAGACUGGAGCUCCUGCUUGCCACAGUUGCUAUAUUCUUAAUAAUAAUAAUAAUAAUAAUGCAUCAGAUUUCAUAUAGCGCUUUAUCAGAGACCCUCAAAGCGCUUUACAUUGGAUACAUCAUUCAUUCGCUCACACAGUCACACUUUGGUGGUGGUGGAAACGUGGCUGCCAUUCUGCGCCUACGGCCUCUCCGACCACCACCACACAACACUCACAAUCAUACACCAGUGGAGGACACACACUGGGAGCAAGGUGGGUUAAGUGUCUUGCCCAAGGACACAACGGACAGACUUGGAUUAGGGGGGAAUCGAACCGCCAACCUUCUGGUCAUUGGACGACCGCUCUACCUCCUGAGCUACUGCCGCCCCGGCAGUAGUCUUAUAAUACCACCCCUCAUCAGGCCACUGGUGAGUCCCUGUUCUUCCUGAUGUAUGAUUGCCACGUGUGCUUGGGGUGCCUUUUCUUCUCUGGGAUCCCCCACAUCCCGUCCCUAGAUCCAUUUCCAUUUGGUAAGCCUCAGCACCUGAAAAAGGGCUCACCUCCCCUAUUUGUGUGUGUGUGCUAUGUUCUUAUUGAUGAUUGAAUAAAAAUUUUUAAAUAAAGUCAAUAUUUUGUAAGCUUGGAACCACGUCUCCUGCUCUCUAUUUACGGAAAAUGAACCUGAGUGCCUUAAAAAAAAAUUCAUUCCUGCAGAACUAAUUCUUUGGGAGAAAUUCCCAAAGUGGCGUUGUUGGUUUCCCUUAAUAAUCCAAAACAAAUUCUUUUUAAUCCAAAAUCUGCCUUAUUGCACCCUCGAGUCGCCACAUUAGUAACAUAGACGAAAUCAAAGAAAUUUUUCCUAAAAAUAGUAUUGUUAUUCUCUAGUUAAACUGUCAGAUCAAUCACUUCGAUUUUAAAUAUGUGCAGUGGAAAAAGUCAAAGUAAAAACUACACUAAAGAAAUUGCUGUUCUUUUUUCUGACAGACUCUCUUGCUUUUGUUGGUCAUAAAGAGGCGUCAUAAUUGAUUUUAGUCUAUUACAAACCCCUCACUGGAGCUUAGACUUAGACUUAGUGGAUGUGUAAUGUGAUGUUCUAUUGCGGUUGCAAUAUUAAUGGCCCUGUUGAGAUCUAUUAGAUUUGGUUCUGAGAGACCGAUUAUUCUGGAAGCUGUGGAGGUUCUGCAUGUGAGUUUGGCCUUGUUUUUAACAGAUAGCAUGGUGAAGAAGCAGGUGGAACAGUCGAGAGGUAUGGAUUGAUCAUACUUUUAUACAGCAGCAGGGGGAGAUGGGGGGCAACUUAGAGUCCUUUUAGUUUGGAUGGCUGACAGUCAUCAAUGGCUCCUUUUCUGAAUGUCACUGAUGUGCCGGACGAAGGUGUGCUUUUUCGGUGUUACCCCAAGAUAUUUAAAACUGUCACUAUCACUGUCGCCACUGCUUGGUCAUUAAUAUGGAUGGGAUGUUGAGUUGAGGAGGGACUGAUUAUCAGUUCCUUUGUUUUGGUGACAAUGAGAUGGAGGUGGUUAUACUCACACCACUGAGUGAAGUGUGAGAUGGUGUUGUGAUAGUCCAAGGCAGUUGUUAUCUGUGUUGUCUGAGUAUUUGAGAUAUGUGGUAGUAGGUUAUGGGCUUUUGCAGUCAUUGGUGUACAGGGUGUAGAGGAAUGGGCUUAACACACAAUCCUGUGGUACUCCUGUGUUUGUUGUGAAUGUGGAUGAUGUUGUUGUGCCCAGUGUUGGGAAAGUUCACUUUCUACCCCAACUAGUUCAUAGUUCUUUUCACACAAUGUAAAAUGAACUAGUUCAGUUUAUUGUUCAUAAUUCCACAUUUUGAACUUAAGUUCAUGGUUCCCAAAAAUGAACUGAUUUAGUUCUUUUAUUUUUCCUCCAAUACCUUGCUGCAAGCUAUUAUUUGUCAAGAUUUUUUACGGAGCCCAUGUAGAACCACAGACAGCCAUUAUUUUAGCCAUUUUAACACUUAAACUAGUUCAGGUUAAUCUUCAUAUCCAUUUUUGAAUUCUAAUCCAACCAGGUUUACAAUAGAAUUGAGAGGACAGCCCUCAGAAUACCAGCGUUUCCCUAAUAUUUUGUUCAGUCCUAACUAGUCGGAAUGUUCAUCUCUAGAGUAUAAUUUCAUAAAUAUGAGGAAAACCUGCUGCUUGAAUGGUUUUUAGACUCUUUAUUAUGAUUACAACAACAGGACUGUGGUCCUUAUAAAAUGCAGGAAAGUUUUGCAGCGCGCACCGGGCAGUUUUGCGAUUACCUUGUACGGUGGAUAUGAGCUAAUUAUGAGAGUAUUUGUAAUGAGAUUGCUCAUCCAAACAAGUUAGUAUAAGUGAAGCUGCACACUUUUUUUUUUUGUUUUAACAAUAAAUAAAAAAUUAUAAUAGCUACGAUAUGCCUUGAACUUAUUUAGUCCACUAAUAUUAGUGGUAAAGUCCUCAUAUGUUUUACAUGCUCUCACGUAUGAGGCUCUCUGAACAUCUGUGUGUACAAUACCGCACUCUUUUAUCUGAGGCUGCCCUAAACGCAUCACUCCGUUUAGGGCACUCCGUUUAGAAGGUGCAAGACUAUCAAUGUAAAUAUUAUAUCUCACAAUUGUUUCCCUUUCAUUGAAGUGUUCAUUUUGCAACAAAUGCCGCUUAAAUAUAGUUUACAGCUUAAACCGACCUGAAUCAUCCCAUAUUGUGAAAGUAUCAAUUCAGUGUCUGUGAGGCUCAGCAGAAACACAGGGCAAGCUUUGGUUGUCUGGAAACCUGGCAACUUUGGACAAAUAAAGUGAUCGGAUUCAUGAAUGAGCGUGCAAACCAUGCAAACUAUGAGAGAUUCCCGGGAGAAAUGACAAAAUGGAAGGUGGGCGGGAGAUAGGUCUGAAAUAUGGGAGAGUCCCGGGAAAAACGAAGUGUUGGCAGGUAUGCAAUAAAAGCGCAUAUGAGUCUGUGUACUCUGGGCAGCUAGUGCUACCUCCCUUGUCCAUCAUGUAUACUGAAGUUUUGACGACUGAUGACUGACUAUUCAUUGGGGCAACAGACAGGCCUGAUUGGGUGGCUUUCUACUAAAUCUUAAGGCCUGUUUAGGCUGUGUUUUAGCUGGGGUUUCGCCUGAAACAUCUGGCACACUUGUGAACCGAGUUUAGAACGCCACCCACAGAUGCCAGAAUGAGUGCGUUCAACACCAACGUGUUCAUACGCAAAUAAAGAAUGAAACGUUCAUGUUCGCCUGAAAUAUGAAUGAGUUGAUGAAUGAUUGUUCAUUCAACGCCCAAGACAGCUUGCAGCCUGUCAAUUAAAAAUCUAUGGAUGAGAUGGAUUAGACAUGAGGGGGGAGUGUAACUUGUGUAUCAUCAGAGGCUUUUGAAUGCUAUUAAAAGUAGAACUGAAGUCUAUGAAGAGGAUCCUGGCAAAGUGAACUGGAGAGUCAAGGUGCUGGAGGAGGAGAUGCAGCAAGCAAGCCACUGCGUCCUCAGUGCCCCUUGUGGUCUUAAAGGCAAAUUGAAAGGGGUCGAGCCAGGGGGUGACGACUGGCAGGAUGGUACACAGCAGCAGCUUCUCAAGGCACUUCAUAAUUAUGGGGGUGAGGGCAACAGGGCAAUAGUAGUUUGGAUGGAUGGGCCGUGGUAUUUUGGUUAAAGGGAUUACGGUGGCUGUUUUCCAGGGGACAGGAAUGGUAACAGACCGGUAGGAUUCACAGAGGAGUGGAUAAAGCACUAGUGUAAGUUUGUGAGCACAGUCCCUCAGCACCCUUACUGGGAUGCUAUCAGGCUCUAUAGCCUAGUUCAGCUUGCAUUGGAUGAGCUGAUGGCAUACAUUAUCUUCUGUGGAGGGGGGUGGCUUAUCUGCUUCCAGUAAAGGGAGGGUUUCCAGCAGAGAUUUACACUCCACCGUAUAUCCAGUGUGUCAAAACGGACAAAAAUGUAUUCAGUUCUUCUGCAAAGGAUCUUGGGUCCAUUGAUACACAGGUUUUAGGUUUUGGACCACAUUCUGUUAAUGUUUUCACCUUCCGAAAUGCCUGCUCACUGUUCAUGUUGGCAAAUUCAGAUUCCAGUUAAUCCUUGAAUUUCAUUUCUUGUUUGCUAAUUUGAGGCUUUUAAAGUCCUUGAGCAUGAAGGCUGCAUUGACAGAAACACUGUCAUUCAGAUGUCCAUUAAAAAUACCCCAGUCAAUACAUGCCAGGGAGCCUUGGAGAUGGGCAAUGGCAUCUUCCGACCUCUGUAGGGGCACUGUAGUAUUGUAGCUUAUGAUGUUUCAGUUCGUGUUUGUAGAGUAAAAGUAAACACAUCACAUGGUGAGAUCACAAUGAGCAAUGUUAAAGUCCAGGCAGUGGAUAUAAACAAGCAUGUGCCAGUAAAGCGUCAGUAUUAUUGCCUUAACACAUAUCCAAGAUGUCCACCUUCCUCAUAAGAAUAUCCACAUACUGCUGAAAUGAUGGCAGAACAUUGUCCAGCUUGCAUGUUUUAAAAUCCCCCCAGAUAAACACAAGAGCCCUGGGAUACUUUGCCAUCAGAGCAUUAGCACCCUCAGCUACCAGCUCUGCUGCUGUCGAAUUGUUCACACUGGGAGCAAUUUCAACACAGCUGAUUAUGGGGAGACAGAAAGGAUGACGUGACAGGGUCAGCAUCUCCAGUUUGGACUACAUGCCUUCCGAUGUGCCUUGAUAUUGUUACACCAUCUUUUGUUGAUGUAAAGGCAGACCCUGCCACCCCACAUCUUCCCUGAGUGUACUGUUCUGUCAGACCUGAAGAUGGUGAAGUCAUCUAGGCUGACUUCAGUGUCUAACUAACUCAUCAAGCCAGGUUUUAGAUAGGACGAGGAUACAGAUGUCCCUGAAGGCACUUUCCUGUUGGCACCAGGUAUGCAGCAAGUCCAUCUUGUUAUGGAGUGAACGGACAUGUGUCAGGCUGGAGUGCGUGGCAAUCAUGCAAUAGCCAUAGUAUUGCGAGCAGAGUAAACAUAAAAGUAAAUAGCAUUAGUGCUACUGUAGGUGCCAACAGACUACCAUGCAGACACUGGCGACUGUAGGUGUGCAAUAUGACCAAAAUGUCACGUCCUACAACCUCUUCAAUACAGCGGCACCCGUACGCCGGCCGCUAUGACCGCUUAAAAGCAAAGAAAAGCUAAUGUUAGCAUUGAGCAAAUAUGAGCUACAAAAGUUGCUAAACUGGUGAACCAUAUGUUUUUUCAGAAAAUAUUAAAAUCCACCAAAGCAAAACAAAUAAUUACUCUUCCAACAGAAACAAAGCAACCAUUCUGUUGUCUCCACUGCUCAAAGGCUGCCCCGAUGUUGACUCUGGUUUGUCCUCUUGCUCUAUUCAGAGCCUUCUUCAUUGCAGCCCUUUCUGCCUCUGUCUUCCUCUUCUUUGGCUGUGUAGCUGGCCAAUCCAUCACAGGUACCGCUGGAACUUGUAUUUUAGGCUGCUAUUUCUUUGCCAUUGUAAAAUGGUCACAUAUUCUCCAGCUGACAAGGUAUUCAGGCAGAGGAGCUUGCUUGCUAUCUGUGGCAACAGCGAAGUGAUGCAUGUGCCUGCGGUUGGGGUGGGAUGGGGGCAGAGGGGAGUGGGGGCGGUGCUGGACAAGACUUUGAGGCAUCUGAUUGGUUCUUUACAUUCGGGCGGAACAAAAUGAUUGGUCAAACUUUGUACAGUCCUGUGGCUGCCAUAGAUCUUGGAUUCUUUUCGUUUCUCUUUCUGAAUACAUAAUGAAUUGGAUACUCUAGGGGUGGGAGGACCAUUUUAUCCAUUAUGACAAAUAGUGUCUCUGAGCAACACUGCCUACCCUGCCUUUAAGUAAUAAGUCAAGUCAAGUCAAGUUUAUUUGUAUAGCACAUUUCAGCAGCAGGGCAACACAGGGCAAUAAUACACCACCUUCAGUAAUACAUCUUCAGAUUUACAGAGAGCCUUUGCAUUUAUGGGUAAUGAUCAUUUGGGUGUAGACCAGGGGUCGGCAACCCGCGGCUCUGGAGCCGCAUGCGGCUCUUUCUUCCCUAAGCUGCGGCUCCCAGUGGAUUUGGAAAAUAAAUAAUAAAUACUUAAUUGCAUUUUAUUUUAUUUUGUUAUUAUUUUUUUUUUUUUGUAAUUCUAAAUUCAAAGAUUAUAAUGCUCUUGUAACUUUACAUAAACUAUUAAGGCUGCAACAACGAAUCGAUUAAGUAGAUUCGUCGUGACGAAAAAAUCCGUUGCCAACAAAUUCUGUAAUCGAUUCGUCGGGUCUUUAUAUAUGUCCAUGGACACCGGCGUGUAAACAUCAGCAGGACGCACAGAAAAGAAACAGCCAUGGCCGAGGCAGCGGCUGAGAAAAACAUGGACACAACCCAACCCAAAUCCCGACCUAAAACAUCAGUGGUGUGGGAAAACUUCACCAAGACUGUAAAGGAAGGCGUUCAGUGCAACAUUUGCAAAGACCGUUUUGCAUGGCUCGGGAGUACAUCGAUGAUGCGUGAGCACAGGGCUCUCAAGUCUCAUGCAUUCAGCGUAUGACACACGCAUUCCCACUCGUUCACACGCUCACACACACCACACAUUGUAUUUCUCACGCAUUUAAAUGAACAUGGUGAUGUCCACCAAGUUGCACUUCUUCAACUUUGGAACUGGGGGAAAUCAACUGAGUUCCUCCGAGAGUUCAGAAGCUGCGUGCCACGCACAAGCCAAUCAAAUAAAGUAUAUCUACUGAACAGCCAAUCAAAAAGCAGCAUUGCUGUAUCAGGGUAGAUUUUGAUAUCUUGCGGUUUAACUACAGAAGAAGACAGACACUCGCCGAAAUAGUUCAUUUAUUUCAUAAAUGCAACUCGCUACAGUUUUUUAUAUACUUUGUAUAAAGGUUAAAAAAAAAAAGAUAUAUGCAAUGUUAUCUUCAUUUUAGAUGUCAAAGAGGUUUUGUGGCUCCCUGUGUUUUCUUUUCUGUAGGAAACUGGUCCAAGUGGCUCUUUGAGUGUUUAAGGUUGCCGACCCCUGGUGUAGACACAGUCAGCAGAUAUUAAAGUGACCUUAACCAGUCUGUAUGUAACCUCCUUUAGUUCCAGAUUUAUGCUUCUGGCAUGUUGUUCUCUGUGGAUUGAAACAUUCAGCACCUCAAAUUCAGUAAUCUGAUUUUUGGGGGGUUCAAAGACGGUACCAGUUUACAUGAGUGAAAUCCUCUGAACUCCUUAUUUCUUGCCCUGUGUUGUUAUUUGAUCACCUUGUUUUGGCUGAGAGGAUCCCUGCAUCCUACUGUGAAGGGAUGAGAGUCGUGUUUGUUUGGAGCUCUGGCCCUGAGGCUCUGCACACAUCACAAUGACAGAAAACUCAUUUAGCCACCUCCUGCUGAAACCUGAGACUGGGCUCACUGACUUGACACCCCGGCACUAAUGCACUCACUCAAACAGCCACUUAUAACCAUAUAUCUGGUCUGGAUUAGAACAUUAGACCAUUUGCAAAAAGAAGGAAGGAAGUCUGAAUCAAACCACUGCAGCAGUAUUUUCUCCCAUCAUGCAGUUGUAAAACCACCUGCUCAUUUGAUAUCUGAGGGUCAGGAGAUCUUUGCAGGUCUUGCAGCUAGUUGAAGUUUAUGACACUGAACUGACUGUGGUAUAUGUCCUAAUUCUUAAGGAGAUGACCCAAUCACCGUCCCAAAGGUUACCUCAAAAUGCCUAAUGGUAACUUGGGAAACCUCCUCUGGGUACACAGCUAGAUAAUUUUCCAGUUUCCUGGCCAAGCCACAGAAUUUAAUGUUUUUCCCCUACUGCUGAAAAUUCAAACAGACCAUACUUGCAUGAUGCCGACCACAAUGACAAACUUAUUUGCAAUACUUCUGAAUCUCCUCAGAAUAUACAGGAUAAUUACGUUUGACCGUUCCUCUUGCACCACAAAACUUUUAUAAAGUAGAAUUCUGGAGACAGUUUCUUUUGGCUACAAGCUGAGAGCCAUCUUUCUUAAAUGAUCAUUUCUAAGUAUCUGCAUCUGUUCCUUGGAUAAUGACAUCAGAUCUGCAGAGGUCUGCAUUUUCAUCUGCUAUAUGAACAAUAUUAUCUUUGACUCAACUUUGCUGCCCUUGCAUCAGGUCCUGGCAGUAAGUAACAGUAACCUCCAGUGUUGAAAAAAAAACCUACAGUUCCUAGAGUGUCCAUUUCGGGCAGUCUCUUAAGACCAAGGAAACCGCAUUAGAACCAGGCAACAACUCCUGGUGUAGGCGAAAAUAAAGAUAGUGAGGAUGUGCUACAAAAUGCAAAAACUCUCCAAAUGUCUCCAGAAGGUCACCCCUUUGACAUUCAUGUUAAAAUGCCUGCUUUACAGCAAAGUUGAAGAGGAUCACAGCCUGGCACAAAACACAGCCAGAAGGCUAAAGCCCCUCUAAAAUCUUUGCCUCUUACUGAAUCAAUUCAAAGUCAGUUCAAGUCAGCAUUUCCACUGAGGUGACCACCAUUGCAAGGCCUUGAAUCUCAGAGGCCUUUCCUUCAAACCCUGGAGGCACAAAAGGCCUUUGUUUUUAGCGGCAUUUAGCUACCCCUCAGUGGAUCCAACAUCCACUUCUGGAACCAUCGUACUGGUCAGUCCUACAGUCAGCUGAUAAUAGCAGCAGUAUCAUCAGCUCAAAAAUUUGUUAAUGACUAUUAUCCAAUCAGGACAUCUCUCAUCAACAGUAUCAUAACUAACAGGUAUCAUACUCGUCUUGGGCAUGUCUUUCACAUACUGGCAAAGCAUUCAGCUGCCCAGUGCGUAAUAUGGCUGAGAAAGGAACAUUAAUCUCACACAAUAACAUCCAGUAUAAACUCUGUAAAAAGACUAACAAAAGAACCAAG